GCGCCCAGUGCCUGGGGCACGGAUGGGCUGGGCUCUGAAGUGGAAUCUGAAGCCACACAAGCGCCAGAAGAAAACGGGUGCCUCCCUCCCUGACCUCAGGGCAGAGAAGAGCUUCCUGACCCGUAGAGAGAAAAGCACAGGCCCCAGAUGGCGCCACCUGCGCUAAAGCCGUGACCCACACCCAGCCCCUCCCCCCUGCCCGGACUUAACUGCACCUAAGCCUCCUGGAAAUGCGAUAUGCGAUCUGGUCAACCGGCAGGAGUUCCCGGUCAGCUCUGAGGAGAUUUGGUGGCAGCAGUGGGAUCAAAAGAAACUUCCAGCAGCUUGGGGACAGGGAGACACGCAAUCAUGGUACCAUCAGCCUCUUUUCGAGUUCACUGCCUCUCACUGUCUCCAGGGGCCACGCCCCUGCAGCGCAGGUCCUGCCUGUCCGAAAGCCUCGGGCUCUGAGAGCUGUUGACAAGUCAGUGACUCCAUGCUUCCUGGCUGUUCGAAGCCUGAACACCGUCCGUAGCAUGUUCAGGUGGACUCCAAGUGGUUCAGGGCCACGGGCCUUUGUCAGCCUUCUUCGGCAUCUCCCAAGUGCUGCACUGAGAAGGGAGCAGCGUCCCACCCCUGUUACAAGAUGCAGGUGCUGGCUGUGCUCAGUCACCAAAGAGGUGACCAAAAGGGCCCGUCUGUUUGCUGACUGUUAACUGAAAAAGGACAGAGUCUCCAAGGAAAAACUACGAUUGUCUCCCGACACUAGUUUGUUACCUGAGUCCUAAUUUAAGCCCUGAAAGAAUUCAGCUGUCUCCAGGAAGAGUUAAACUAAUCCAGGAGUUUCCUGGACCCACAGCUGA